rnacentral:rRNA from 1 species
UACAGAGGUCCCAAGCGUUGUUCGGAUUCACUGGGCGUAAAGGGUGCGUAGGCGGUCGGGUAAGUCGGGUGUGAAAUCUCGGAGCUUAACUCCGAAACUGCAUUCGAUACUGCCGUGCUUGAGGACUAGAGAGGAGACUGGAAUUUACGGUGUAGCGGUGAAAUGCGUAGAUAUCGUAAGGAAGACCAGUGGCGAAGGCGGGUCUCUGGACAGUUCCUGACGCUGAGGCACGAAGGUCAGGGGAGCAAACGGG